UAAAUAAUCUGGUAAAAAUGUGAUUGUUUACUUCCGGUGCAGGUUACUUUCUUAUAUGCAAUGAAAUGUAGUGUGAAAUUUUCACUGUAGCACUGGAAAGGAUUAAACUUUAUUCAUGCAAAGUAUUUCUUUGGUUGAAAUAAAGUGUUCACAUGUUCUGAAGAGCAUUCUGUUGAAAAAUCUUAUAUGUGAAUUGGUCUGCAGAUGACACUUCAGCAUUAAAACAAAAGAUAUCAAGUUUUGAUGAAAAAGGAAGGAAGGAGGAAAAAUGGACCAAAACAGACCAAAACAGACCUUCAAAUGAACUCUAAAAGUGUUCACAUGUUCUGAAGAGCAUUCUGUUGAAAAAUCUUAUAUGUGAAUUGGUCUGCAGAUGACACUUCAGCAUUAAAACAAAAGAUAUCAAGUUUUGAUGAAAAAGGAAGGAAGGAGGAAAAAUGGACCAAAACAGACCAAAACAGACCUUCAAAUGAACUCUAAAAGUGUUCACAUGUUCUGAAGAGCAUUCUGUUGAAAAAUCUUAUAUGUGAAUUGGUCUGCAGAUGACACUUCAGCAUUAAAACAAAAGAUAUCAAGUUUUGAUGAAAAAGGAAGGAAGGAGGAAAAAUGGACCAAAACAGACCAAAACAGACCUUCAAAUGAACUCUAAAAGUGUUCACAUGUUCUGAAGAGCAUUCUGUUGAAAAAUCUUAUAUGUGAAUUGGUCUGCAGAUGACACUUCAGCAUUAAAACAAAAGAUAUCAAGUUUUGAUGAAAAAGGAAGGAAGGAGGAAAAAUGGACCAAAACAGACCAAAACAGACCUUCAAAUGAACUCUAAAAGUGUUCACAUGUUCUGAAGAGCAUUCUGUUGAAAAAUCUUAUAUGUGAAUUGGUCUGCAGAUGACACUUCAGCAUUAAAACAAAAGAUAUCAAGUUUUGAUGAAAAAGGAAGGAAGGAGGAAAAAUGGACCAAAACAGACCAAAACAGACCUUCAAAUGAACUCUAAAAGUGUUCACAUGUUCUGAAGAGCAUUCUGUUGAAAAAUCUUAUAUGUGAAUUGGUCUGCAGAUGACACUUCAGCAUUAAAACAAAAGAUAUCAAGUUUUGAUGAAAAAGGAAGGAAGGAGGAAAAAUGGACCAAAACAGACCAAAACAGACCUUCAAAUGAACUCUAAAAGGUGCAAUAAAAUUGUUUAUCAUCUAAAAGUUGUCUUUUGUAUUCUAU